UACGGAGGGUGCAAGCGUUAUCCGGAUUCACUGGGUUUAAAGGGUGCGUAGGCGGGCUAGUAAGUCUGUUGUGAAAUCUCCGGGCUUAACCCGGAAAUUGCGGUGGAUACUAUUAGUCUUGAAUAUUGUGGAGGUUAGCGGAAUAUGUCAUGUAGCGGUGAAAUGCAUAGAUAUGACAUAGAACACCAAUUGCGAAGGCAGCUGGCUACACAAAUAUUGACGCUGAGGCACGAAAGCGUGGGGAUCAAACAGG
rnacentral:rRNA from 1 species